rnacentral:rRNA from 1 species
UACGUAGGGGGCGAGCGUUGUCCGGAUUUAUUGGGCGUAAAGAGCUCGUAGGCGGCUUAGCAAGUCGGGUGUGAAAACUACAGGCUCAACCUGGAGACGCCACUCGAGACUGCUAUGGCUAGAGUCCGGUAGGGGACCACGGAAUUCCUGGUGUAGCGGUGAAAUGCGCAGAUAUCAGGAGGAACACCGGUGGCGAAGGCGGUGGUCUGGGCCGGCACUGACGCUGACACGCGAAAGCUAGGGGAGCGAACGGG